AGUAUGCGGUUUGGGACGCAGCCGAACUCUCUUGUUUGCCGUAAAACGUAAAACUGCCGUGUGUGAUCGUGUCCUGUCACAAAAUGCGGUGGAAACUCUCACACGACGUUCAUAAUGUGAUUAAGGUGUUUACAUGUCUGUAAUACACAUCCAUAAUGCGACUAAAACAGGAGUACUCCACCUGUCUUAAUUUGAUUAUUGCUUACUCCGAGUAUGACCUUAAUUAGAUUAAGGUAAUUAAAAAUUGCUGUUAACAUGGUAGUUUCUUAAUCAAAGUAUGGUCUUAAUCGGGCUAAGAGUGGAUUAUUGUUGUCCAUGUAAAAACACUGAUUGUCGUAUGUAACUUUAGAGACGGUCCCUAAAUAUCCGCAUAUCUGCGAAUAUCGAAUAUCCAACGUCAAGCCAACUUUAUGCCAAUACCGAACUAUCGUUAAUUAGGUUCACUGAAGCGCGACGUUUUUUUUUUUGUUUGUUUUUUUUACCGCUUUCCGGCCGGUGUGUCGCUGCCCUCGAAGUCGCUGGCCCGCGGUGCGAAAAAACUGGCUGUGCUCAUCGUGCUCAAUGCGUCCGGGCUCUCAGGGUGCUGAUUCGCCAAGCGGCCGUAACAGUCCCGACUAGGCACUGCAAUAAACACCAGAACUGGUUUAGGGGGAAAUGCAGCCUAUAGACACAACCCACAUACUACUGCAGGUCGCGGGGAGCAUGGGGCCUAUCCCCUGCGCAGGGUUUCAAACCCAUCACAUGGCACAUACACACAUACACUCAUCACCCAGCCACACACUACUCGGACAAUCUGAAAAUGCCAAUCAACCCACAACGCAUGUCUUUGGACUGGAAUCGGACCCGCAGCCCUACAGACGCAAGGCAAAGCCUGCUAAUCACUAAGCCACUGUGAACCUUCUCCUUAUGUUUUUGCACUGGUGUUGCCAGAUAAAGCACAUUUCACUUCCA